rnacentral:rRNA from 1 species
GACGAACGCUGGCGGCGUGCUUAACACAUGCAAGUCGAACGGAAAGGCCUGCUUUCCCUUGUGGAUUGCGGGUACUCGAGUGGCGAACGGGUGAGUAACACGUGAGUGAUCUGCCCCCAACUUGGGUAUAAGCCUGGGAAACUGGGUCUAAUUCCCGAUAGGACUGCAGGGUGGUGCCUGUGGUGGAAAACGAUUUUCUAGUGGUUGGGGAUGAGCUCGCGGCCUAUCAGCUUGUUGGUGGGGUAAUGUCCUACCAAGGCGGCGACGGGUAGCCGGCCUGGGAGGGUGGACGGCCACAUUGGGACUGAGAUACGGCCCAGACUCCUACGGGAGGCAGCAGUGGGGAAUAUUGCACAAUGGGCGGAAGCCUGAUGCAGCGACGCCGCGUGGGGGAUGACGGCCUUCGGGUUGUAAACUCCUUUCGACCGCGAGGAAGCCACCUGGUUGGAAGGGUGGUGACGGUAGUGGUAGAAGAAGCACCGGCUAACUACGUG